rnacentral:rRNA from 1 species
UGUGAGCUCGAUGAGUAGGGCGGGACACGUGGUAUCCUGUCUGAAUAUGGGGGGACCAUCCUCCAAGGCUAAAUACUCCUGACUGACCGAUAGUGAACCAGUACCGUGAGGGAAAGGCGAAAAGAACCCCGGCGAGGGGAGUGAAAAAGAACCUGAAACCGUGUACGUACAAGCAGUGGGAGCACGCUUAGGCGUGUGACUGCGUACCUUUUGUAUAAUGGGUCAGCGACUUAUAUUCUGUAGCAAGGUUAACCGAAUAGGGGAGCCGAAGGGAAACCGAGUCUUAACUGGGCGUUAAGUUGCAGGGUAUAGACCCGAAACCCGGUGAUCUAGCCAUGGGCAGGUUGAAGGUUGGGUAACACUAACUGGAGGACCGAACCGACUAAUGUUGAAAAAUUAGCGGAUGACUUGUGGCUGGGGGUGAAAGGCCAAUCAAACCGGGAGAUAGCUGGUUCUCCCCGAAAGCUAUUUAGGUAGCGCCUCGUGAAUUCAUCUCCGGGGGUAGAGCACUGUUUCGGCAAGGGGGUCAUCCCGACUUACCAACCCGAUGCAAACUGCGAAUACCGGAGAAUGUUAUCACGGGAGACACACGGCGGGUGCUAACGUCCGUCGUGAAGAGGGAAACAACCCAGACCGCCAGCUAAGGUCCCAAAGUCAUGGUUAAGUGGGAAACGAUGUGGGAAGGCCCAGACAGCCAGGAUGUUGGCUUAGAAGCAGCCAUCAUUUAAAGAAAGCGUAAUAGCUCACUGGUCGAGUCGGCCUGCGCGGAAGAUGUAACGGGGCUAAACCAUGCACCGAAGCUGCGGCAGCGACGCUUAUGCGUUGUUGGGUAGGGGAGCGUUCUGUAAGCCUGCGAAGGUGUGCUGUGAGGCAUGCUGGAGGUAUCAGAAGUGCGAAUGCUGACAUAAGUAACGAUAAAGCGGGUGAAAAGCCCGCUCGCCGGAAGACCAAGGGUUCCUGUCCAACGUUAAUCGGGGCAGGGUGAGUCGACCCCUAAGGCGAGGCCGAAAGGCGUAGUCGAUGGGAAACAGGUUAAUAUUCCUGUACUUGGUGUUACUGCGAAGGGGGGACGGAGAAGGCUAUGUUGGCCGGGCGACGGUUGUCCCGGUUUAAGCGUGUAGGCUGGUUUUCCAGGCAAAUCCGGAAAAUCAAGGCUGAGGCGUGAUGACGAGGCACUACGGUGCUGAAGCAACAAAUGCCCUGCUUCCAGGAAAAGCCUCUAAGCAUCAGGUAACAUCAAAUCGUACCCCAAACCGACACAGGUGGUCAGGUAGAGAAUACCAAGGCGCUUGAGAGAACUCGGGUGAAGGAACUAGGCAAAAUGGUGCCGUAACUUCGGGAGAAGGCACGCUGAUAUGUAGGUGAAGUCCCUCGCGGAUGGAGCUGAAAUCAGUCGAAGAUACCAGCUGGCUGCAACUGUUUAUUAAAAACACAGCACUGUGCAAACACGAAAGUGGACGUAUACGGUGUGACGCCUGCCCGGUGCCGGAAGGUUAAUUGAUGGGGUCAGCGCAAGCGAAGCUCUUGAUCGAAGCCCCGGUAAACGGCGGCCGUAACUAUAACGGUCCUAAGGUAGCGAAAUUCCUUGUCGGGUAAGUUCCGACCUGCACGAAUGGCGUAAUGAUGGCCAGGCUGUCUCCACCCGAGACUCAGUGAAAUUGAACUCGCUGUGAAGAUGCAGUGUACCCGCGGCAAGACGGAAAGACCCCGUGAACCUUUACUAUAGCUUGACACUGAACAUUGAGCCUUGAUGUGUAGGAUAGGUGGGAGGCUUUGAAGUGUGGACGCCAGUCUGCAUGGAGCCGACCUUGAAAUACCACCCUUUAAUGUUUGAUGUUCUAACGUUGACCCGUAAUCCGGGUUGCGGACAGUGUCUGGUGGGUAGUUUGACUGGGGCGGUCUCCUCCUAAAGAGUAACGGAGGAGCACGAAGGUUGGCUAAUCCUGGUCGGACAUCAGGAGGUUAGUGCAAUGGCAUAAGCCAGCUUGACUGCGAGCGUGACGGCGCGAGCAGGUGCGAAAGCAGGUCAUAGUGAUCCGGUGGUUCUGAAUGGAAGGGCCAUCGCUCAACGGAUAAAAGGUACUCCGGGGAUAACAGGCUGAUACCGCCCAAGAGUUCAUAUCGACGGCGGUGUUUGGCACCUCGAUGUCGGCUCAUCACAUCCUGGGGCUGAAGUAGGUCCCAAGGGUAUGGCUGUUCGCCAUUUAAAGUGGUACGCGAGCUGGGUUUAGAACGUCGUGAGACAGUUCGGUCCCUAUCUGCCGUGGGCGCUGGAGAACUGAGGGGGGCUGCUCCUAGUACGAGAGGACCGGAGUGGACGCAUCACUGGUGUUCGGGUUGUCAUGCCAAUGGCACUGCCCGGUAGCUAAAUGCGGAAGAGAUAAGUGCUGAAAGCAUCUAAGCACGAAACUUGCCCCGAGAUGAGUUCUCCCUGACUCCUUGA